AUUGAACGCUGGCGGCAGGCUUAACACAUGCAAGUCGAGCGGGGGGAAGGUAGCUUGCUACCUAACCUAGCGGCGGACGGGUGAGUAAUGCUUAGGAAUCUGCCUAUUAGUGGGGGACAACAUUUCGAAAGGGAUGCUAAUACCGCAUACGCCCUAAGGGGGAAAGCAGGGGAUCUUCGGACCUUGCGCUAAUAGAUGAGCCUAAGUCGGAUUAGCUAGUUGGUGGGGUAAAGGCCUACCAAGGCGACGAUCUGUAGCGGGUCUGAGAGGAUGAUCCGCCACACUGGGACUGAGACACGGCCCAGACUCCUACGGGAGGCAGCAGUGGGGAAUAUUGGACAAUGGGCGGGAGCCUGAUCCAGCCAUGCCGCGUGUGUGAAGAAGGCCUUUUGGUUGUAAAGCACUUUAAGCGAGGAGGAGGCUACCUGGAUUAAUACUCUAGGAUAGUGGACGUUACUCGCAGAAUAAGCACCGGCUAACUCUGUGCCAGCAGCCGCAGUAAAAC
rnacentral:rRNA from 1 species